UACGAAGGGGGCUAGCGUUGCUCGGAAUCACUGGGCGUAAAGCGCACUUCGGCGGAUUGCUCAUUCAGGGGUGAAAUCCUGGAGCUCAACUCCAGAACUGCCUUUGAUACUGGCGACCUUGAGUCCGGGAGAGGUGAGUGGAACUGCGAGUGUAGAGGUGAAAUUCGUAGAUAUUCGCAAGAACACCAGUGGCGAAGGCGGCUCACUGGCCCGGUACUGACGCUGAGGUGCGAAAGCGUGGGGAGCAAACAGG
rnacentral:rRNA from 1 species